rnacentral:rRNA from 1 species
ACUCCUACGGGAGGCAGCAGUGGGGAAUAUUGGACAAUGGGGGGAACCCUGAUCCAGCCAUGCCCGCNGUGUGUGAAGAAGGCCUUAUGGUUGUAAAGCACUUUAAGCNAGGAGGAGGCUACUGAGACUAAUACUGCUUGGAUAGUGGACGUUACUCGCAGAAUAAGCACCGGCUAACUCCUGG